rnacentral:rRNA from 1 species
AGCGAACGCUGGCGGCAGGCCUAACACAUGCAAGUCGAACGAAGUCUUCGGACUUAGUGGCGGACGGGUGAGUAACACGUGGGAACGUGCCUUUAGGUUCGGAAUAACUCAGGGAAACUUGUGCUAAUACCGAAUGUGCCCUUCGGGGGCAAGAUUUAUCGCCUUUAGAGCGGCCCGCGUCUGAUUAGCUAGUUGGUGAGGUAAAGGCUCACCAAGGCUACGAUCAGUAGCUGGUCUGAGAGGAUGACCAGCCACAUUGGGACUGAGACACGGCCCAAACUCCUACGGGAGGCAGCAGUGGGGAGUCUUGCGCAAUGGGCGAAAGCCUGACGCAGCCAUGCCGCGUGGAUGAUGAAGGUCUUAGGAUUGUAAAAUCCUUUCACCGGUGAAGAUAAUGACUGUAGCCGGAGAAGAAGCCCCGGCUAACUUCGUGCCAGCCGCCGCAGUAAUAC